UACGAAGGGGGCUAGCGUUGUUCGGAAUUACUGGGCGUAAAGCGCACGUAGGCGGACUAUUAAGUCAGGGGUGAAAUCCCGGGGCUCAACCCCGGAACUGCCUUUGAUACUGGUAGUCUCGAGUCCGGAAGAGGUGAGUGGAAUUCCGAGUGUAGAGGUGAAAUUCGUAGAUAUUCGGAAGAACACCAGUGGCGAAGGCGACUCACUGGACAACUGUUGACGCUGAGGUGCGAAAGCGUGGGGAGCAAACAGG
rnacentral:rRNA from 1 species